rnacentral:lncRNA from 1 species
GCUUGUUGUAGGUGAUCCCAAAAUUUGGAGACGAAUUGGGUGCCUCGGUCUGAAAUUAUAUUCUUUGGGACUCCGUGCAAGCAAACUAUACGGGAGAGAUAAAGUUUUGCCAGUCUUUGUGUGGAGUAGGUAGUCUUCACGGGAAUGAAAUGAGCAACCUUGGUUAGUCGGUCUGUGAUGACCCAUAUGGCGUCAUUUCCGCGUUGUGACCGGGGUAAUCCGACAAUGAAGUCCAUUCCGAUUUCAUCCCAUUUCCACUCCGGUAUCCUGUUAGGCUGGAGUAGCCCUGCUGGCUUUUGGUGCUCUGCCUUGAUGCGCUGACAUGAAUCGCAACAAGCAAUGAACGUGGCUAUAUCUCUUUUCAUACCGUGCCACUAAAAUCUUUCUUGGAUGUCCUUGUACAUUUUGGUUCCUCCAGGAUGGAUCGAGUAUGGGGCGGUGUGGCUUUCCGUCAAGAUCUGUUGCUUGAGUUCCUCAAUGUUAGGUACGCAAAGUCUGUCUCGGUACCAUAAUGUUCCUUCACUGUCCGUGACGAAUUCUGAAGUCUUACCAAGAUUCAUUUUCUUCUUUAUGCCUUCGAUACUGGGAUGUCCCUGUUGAGCCUUCUUGAUUUGUUCCACUAGGGUGGGUUGUAUCUCCAGGUUCGAUACGGUGCCCUCAGAGACUAACAUCAUGUUGAGCCUAGUGAACUCUCGCUGAAACUCAGGCCUCAAAUUUUUCUGACCGUCACUGUCCGGGCUGGGGUUUCGACUAAGGGCAUCGGCCACUACAUUUGCAUUCCCUGGGUGGUAGUGAAUACCGACGUCAUAGUCCUUGACCAGUUCCAACCAGCGUCGUUGGCGUAAAUUCAGCUCUGGCUGUGUGAAAAUAUAUUUGAGGCUCUUAUGGUCCGUAUAUAUUUCACAGCGAUUACCCAACAGAAAAUGCCUCCACUCCUUGAGUGCAUGUAUAACUGCUGCUAGCUCCAAGUCAUGUGUUGGGUAAUUUUCCUCAUGUUUUCGCAGCUGCCUGGAGGCAUAUGCGACAACUUUGCCAUCCUGCAUUAGCACACAUCCGAGACCUUUUCGGGACGCGUCACAAUACACCUCAAAGCUCUUGUGUAUGUCUGGUACAGUUAAGACCGGUGCGGUUGUCAGCUUCUUCUUGAGUUCUUGGAAGCUCUGCUCACAUGCUUCCGUCCAUACAAAUUUGUUGUCCUUCUUGAGUAACUGUGUUAUAGGUUUUGCCACAGUGGAGAAUCCUUCAAUAAAUCUCCUGUAAUAUCCGGCCAUUCCUAGGAAACUCCGCACAUCUAUAACAUUCGCGGGUGGCUUCCAGUCUAGUAUGGCCUUGACUUUUUCUGGGUCUACGGCCACGCCUUCUUGGUUCAAUAUAUGGCCCAAGAAACCAACUUGUCUUAGCCAAAAUUCGCAUUUGCUAAAUUUGGCGUACAACUGAUGUUUCCUCAAUUCUCCCAAAAAGAUUCUGAGGUGCUCAGCAUGCUCUUCUGGUGUCCUUGAGUAAACCAGAAUAUCGUCAAUGAAUACCACCACAAAUUUGUCCAUGAAUUUCAUGAACACUUUGUUCAUGAGGUGGACGAAAUAUGCGGGGGCGUUCGUUAGUCCAAAAGGCAUCACUGUAAACUCGUAUAACCCAUAUCUGGAAGUGAAAGCUGUCUUGGGAAUAUCUUCCGUCCGUACCUUCAAUUGGUGAUAUCCCGAUCUAAAAUCAAUUUUUGAGAAUACCUUGGCCUGUGCGAGCUGGUCAAACAAAUCAUUUAUUUGUGGCAUCGGAUAUUUGUUUUUGAUGGUGACCAUAUUGAGGGCUCGAUAGUCUAUGCACAGCCUCAGUGUUCCAUCUUUCUUUUUGGCGAACAACACAGGCGAACCCCAAGGUGAGGAGCUGGCUCGAAUAAAUCCUUUGUCCAACAAUUCCUUUAUCUGCUUCUUCAACUCCACCAAUUCUGAGGGUGCCAUUCUAUACGGCUUUUUAUAGAUGGGAGCGGUGCCAGGUGCUAGUUCAAUGCUGAAUUCUAUCUCUCGGUCUGGUGGCAUGCCUGGUAGUUCUCCGGGAACACAUCAGGGAACUCGCAUACCACUGGAACUUUUCUCAGUUCCGCAAUGUCCAUUUUGUUCAGUUUUGGUCUCUGGGACUAUGGCCUUUCUUGAGCGGAAACUCUUAUAGUCUUGCCGUGAUGGUGAGUGAGAAUCACGGUCCGAUUGAAACAGUCGAUGAAUCCUUUGUUGGUGGUCAACCAGUCCAUCCCUAAAAUGACAUCCAGUCCUUUACUUUCCAACACGAUGAGAUUCGCGUGGAAUUGUAGUCCUUCAAACUCAAUGACCACUCCUUGGCAGUAACCUUGAGCGAUUUGCUUAUUUCCGGGGGACUUGAUGAUCAUAGAUUUUUCCAGGGGAAGAAUGGGAAAACCGUGUUGCGAAACAAAACUCUUCGAAACGAACGAAUGGGAAGCUCCAGAAUCAAACAAAACCGUGGCAGGUACUGUGUUGACAGGGAACGUACCGAGCACGAUGUCUGGGGCAUUCUGCGCUUCUUCCCUGGUCACAUGGUUCAGGUGACCCUUCCUGUGGCUGUUGCUGGGGUUGAAGUUGUUGCGCUUGGGGGCUGGAUUGUUCCCACCAUUGUUCGGCUUGGGUGCCGAGCCUCUCGGCUUCGGGCACUGUUUAGCAUAAUGCCCUUGUUGACCACAUGCAUAGUAGGUGACCCCUGGACGGUAUGUGAACUCCUUGUCCCUGGCAUGAAACUGCCCGACGGGCCUUGGCUCAGUAGUCGUGGAUCUCCUUGCGUCUGUCCUUGGGACCUUAGUCUUGCCUCGGUUGCUGCGGGCAAGCGUUGUCUUGUCCCUCUUCCGCUUACGGCUAUCUUCUAGACUACGGCGCUCAUUCUCCAAGGUGAUGACCUUGUCCACCAGCGUCUUAAAAUCCGGAAAGGUGUGCACGAUCAGUUGGCAUCUUAAUGCUGGUGCCAGGCCGUCCAGGAAUUUUUCCAUCUUCUUGUUUUCUGUCAUGUGCUCGUCAUAGGCAUAACGAGACAGCUGGGUGAACUGACCGUUGUAUUCUGUGACGGACAUGCCUCUUUGCUUUAGGUCAUCAAACUCUCUCUUCUUGAUCUUUAGGAUGCUCCUGGGGAUGUGUGCCCCACGGAAGCCUUCCUUGAAUUCUUCCCAGGUGAUGUUGUGUUCCCUGGGAUGCAUGUGUAGGAAGUUUUCCCACCAUGCUGCGGCUGCUCCAGUAAGGUAGUGUGGUGCAUAAAGCACCUUCUCAUGAUCCGAGCACUGAGCAAUAAUCAGUUUCCUUUCAAUCUCACAAAGCCAAUCAUCGGCUUCCAGCGGUCUAUCGGUGUGAGCAAAAGUUGAGGGGCGAGUCUUCUGUAACUCAAAUAACUUGGAAUGUGGUUGAUAGGGUUCACGGUGGUUUCCCAUAUUGAUGACAUGGUUCAUCAUCUCUUGGUGCUGUUGCUGGCUUUGCUCGAAGAGACGGCAUACUUGAGACAGUGCUGCUUCGCUGUCUUGUUGGCCGGACUGACCCUGAGUGAAAUUGUUGCUGGUCUGUGUCCCGUAAACCUCUUCUGGCUGAUUGGGCAUAGAGCGAGUCCAUGGGCGAGACAUUUUUCCAGUCUGGGGUAUUAUUUGCAAAACCCAUGAGAAAAACUGUGUAGCACAAGAAAAAUCUUGCAAAGGCGAUAAUUAAAGAGGCUUCAAGGUUUUCAAAGAAACACAAAUGAUUUUUCACGGAGAAGAAGUGCUUAACAUAAAACUUACAUGCGAAAAGCAACCACACGAUACAGCACUCAAGAUGCGCGUACACAUCCUGACAUGUUAUUUUAAAACUAGCGUACUACUCCGGAAGGCAGCAAUCACGCCAAUACAAACUAGCGUACAUAUAAAACAACACAUCAUACAAGCAGGCAUAACACGUGGCUACUCGGUGCUCUCAGUCGGAGAUGGUGAAGAUCUCCUUCCCCUUGCCGAUGGCAAGGCUCAGAGGUCCAGGAGAAUCAACCUCCUCCUCUCUAGCUGGUUCCUGGCGCGCGACGCUGUGCGGCGGUGACGGAGCGGGGGCGACUGGUGGUAGAGCGCGUGCGGCAGGCGGUGCGGCUCUGACUGGAGUAGGAGCGAUGACUCGGUCGAACUCCUCAGUGGUAGGCAGACGGCGAGCAGUGGCCAAAACGGCCGGUGCAUACGAGGCUGAAGACGAGACGAAAGUCAGAGGCGGCGCCGUGUGGAGAAGCUCCUUCCUGCUGGCAGGACCGCCCCGGACUAAGUCCAUGCGGGCAGCCACAAGAUCAUCUACGAGGUUGUCGAAAGACUCCGCCAGCGCCUUGAGAUACUCCACAACCAUCUCGAUGGCUUCAUCUCGUUCUCCCCGAUGGCAGGCGAACGCAUAGUGGCUGGUGUAAGGCACAUGGCAUGGGAGGUAGCGGUAGCGACGAGUCUUCAUCGUAGGAAGGAUGUCCCGAAGGCGAGCUAUCGCCUCGCGGGCAGCCAUCUGCAUGGCAUGCCUCUCCGUAGGCAUGGCCCUUCCCGUAAAACGGAAGUGACGAGCAGCAGAACGUCCUCCCCUGAACUGCACCACGGCUUGGUGCAUAGACACGUCGUCACUGAGCUUGUGCUGAUAGAGCGUGAACUCCGGGCGAGCUGCUGGCCCGAUCGCGAGCUUGGUGAUGGAGACGAGGAGCUUGACAAACCCCUCGGGCACGUUGGUGAACACUUGAUUCUCACAGCUGCUGCCAGCCAUCUACAAAAGUAGGCAAAAAUUCUGAGUAGUCAUGUCAUAAAUUUAUGAUGACCAACAGAAAAAUAGCUACAAUUGCAAAAAUGCUGAAAAAGCACAAAAGAUGCUAAUAACCAAUUAGCGAUCGCACCUAGUGGCUUCCUACAGUCAGCCUGGCUCUGAUACCAAGCUUGUCACGACCGGUUUUUCAAUAAAAUAUUUAUUGAGAGACCAAUCCCUUUUACGGACCAGCGAGGAAGAAUUCCUUCUCACUGGUAGACAAUAUCUUGGUCACAGAAGAAAAAAUACCAGGAGUACUAAAUAUAAUACAAGGUUGAGCAGAGACUGCCCAACAAUUUAUUACAUGCACGCCGUUAAAACAAGACGGCGGAUAGGGUGGCAAACUACUAACUUACGAUAAUAACGGUGGUGGAAAUAUCACCGCGAAGCGAGUGAUAUGAUUCCAGGAGACUACAGCUCUUCGAGCGUCGGAGUGAGGCUCGAGGAGACUUAUUGCGGGUGGCGGAAGCGAAUACAAUACAAGUGACCAAAGUCCGGGAUCGCGCAGGACUGACUGGGACUCCUCUAGGCAUCGGACGCGCUAUCAAACUCUUCAUCCAAGAGAUCGCCUUCGUCAACAUCUGGCCAAAUCAACAAGCCAGGUGAGUACUAUGAAAGUACUCGCGAGACAGUUUGGACAUAAGAUAUAACAAAUGUAAACAUGAAGCAUAUGAACAAGUUAACCGGUGCGAUUAGACAUAGCGGUAAUAAAUACUGGGUGCCAAGCGAGGGUCUGAAUGGCGCCUCGAGCGAAAACUGCAGAAUAGUAAUACUGGUGCCAAACGAGUGUCUGAAAGACUCCUCGAGCGGAAAAUGCGGAAUAAUAAUGCGGGUGCCAAACGAGUGUCUGAAAGACUCCUCGAGCGGAAAAUGCGGAAUAAUAAUGCGGGUGCCAACCGAGUGUCUGAAAGACUCCUCGAGCGGAAAAUGCGGAAUAUUAAUGCCACAGUCGGGCGUCGGGGCGACACCACAUAAAGGGCUUAUAACAGAAAAUAAAGGCAGUGCAUGCGGCAGUCGGACGUCUGAGCGACAUCUCAUAAAGGGCUUAUAUUUAAAGUGAGAAACGAGUACACGCCACAGUCGGACGUCUGCGCGACGUCUCAUAAAGGGCUUAUAUCACAACUCAUUAAUAGAGUAGUUCGGGAACAUGAAUUAUCACAAGCAUGAGACAAAUAUAAAGUUAGUCCAUCCACAGGAAUAACAAUAGAUCUGAAUUUACCACUUGAACUUGUUCACCGGGGACAAGUUUUUCACACCGAUAGAUAUGGAUGCAAAACUUACACUGCUGGAUCAUGGAUACGAUGAUUUGGAAAGAAUUGACUCUGCAGAGUUUAUACUUAACCACAGCCAACGGAUUUCAGUAGUCACGGGGACUAGUUCCGUCUACGGUGUUUUGGAAGAAACACGUCUAACCAGUACACACCCAAUUCAUCCAUCCGAAGCCAGGGAUCACCCUCGGCAACAUUCAAGAAAAACCUUGAGACGGGGAGGCUACAACCUCGCGUAGCAUGGGAUCAAAUUUCUAUACGCGCGCUUUAAGGGGGUGCCCCCCUCUCGGUCCCAACCGGAAACACCCAUGCCCCCUGACCGAAUGACUGGCUUUAAUCCUGGGCCAAGGUACCAUCAUCCCGGCCUCUCUGUUUGGUGUGUACACGGAAAGAGGUUACCAACUUACUAAACUGCAUCCUGGCAAUGAGACUUGUGGUAGCACGGAAAGGGGAAAGGACGGUAACGCGGCUCCAACCACGUUAACGUCGGAAAAAGUCGGAUGACGCAAGGCUGGCAUGCUACAACAGUACCACCUUGCUGCCCUUCAUGUCACCACAUGAUUAGGCCAUCUCUCAUCAGAGAUCAUCGCAACUUUGGAACAACAGGGUUGUUGCCUUACAAGCAACGAGGUAUUUACCGACCUUCAUUUGCCACGCACAAACUCUCACGUGAACAUGAAAAACACCUGUCAUAUCAACUGUUCAAAACAUGCUUGCCUGGUUCGGAGAAGUCGGAGUCUAGCUCGGCGAAGUUCGCGGCUCCGUCACCUCCCCCGGAACCUACGGCAAUCACGAAACGGGUACUAACGUGAAAAUCAACACAUGCACAGAAACUUUUCCAAAUAUUUUUCAAAUAAAUCCCAUAAAAAACUAGACAAAAUUUGAAGAUUGUCAGAAAAAGAAUCACUCAAAAAUACCUUUUUAUUAAAAAGUUAUAAAGGUUUCUGUCUAGGGACUUAUCUGUGAUGAAACAGAAAAGUUCCAGGGUUUUAACUGAGAAAACAGAAAACGCUUCGGUUGGGAAUGCGCAAGCGCAAAGGAGAAAACGUAUUCUGCCCGAAGGCGCCAACAAAAAACGAUUCGCGAAUAAAAGAACAGAGGCUGACACACGGGGUCCACAUGUCAGGUUUGAAAAGCUCGCCGGCGCCCGAAGACUGCGGUGGACGCCGGCGUCGAACCACGGCGAGUUAGGAGGAACGGAGGGUACCAAGAGCUUCAGCGUCCUCUUCCGCGUCGGUGGGUGGUGGACUCGUCCAACGGGGAGCACGACGUCGACGGCGACACUUUCUCCGGCGGACGGCGGCUCGGGUGAGGAUGGGGAACUCCGGUGGAGGGCUGCAAGCUUCAAAUUGAAGUGCGGGUCAGAAAGAGGGAUGCAUAGUGAAGCUACUGGCAAGAGAAUGGAGGCGGAGGAGCACACACGGGGGCGAAUCGGGCUGGAUCCCGUGGCGGGUCGCGGCGGCCGGAGUCGAGGAAGGAGACCUCCUCGGGGCUCUUCUACUGGCUAGGCGUGCUCUAGGGGAAGUGCAGUGCUGGUGGGUGCUCGAGUUGAAGCUCGGGGCCUCUAUUUAUAGGCAGAUCGACGGGGUGGCCGUGAACGGAGAAUCUCAGGCGAGCGAUUACGGCGGAGCAGUGGAUUGGCAGGGGGUUUGAGCGGCCGGGCAGCAUCAGUGGAGGUUACUGGAUUCGUUUUGCAGCUAAACGGGGUCGGUCUUGGCGUAAUGGCGUCGGUCCAUGGUGAGGUGACCGCACGGGCUCAACGGCGGCAGAGAGCGCGUUCCACGCCCUGCGGUUCACGACGAGAGCGGCAGCGCGUUCGGGGGAGUGGAAGGCCACGCGGCGAGCUCCGGUUGUUUGGGCGGCGCUGGGUGGCGUCGUCGGCGCCGUGUCUCCCGCUAGCGUCCGCAAAGCCGCCGCCGGUGUCGGUCACGGGGCGGCGCACCUUCUGCUGCUCUUCGCUGACGCCCGCAAGGUGCCAAGCAUUCGUGCGGUGCAGGAACAAGGGGGCGGGGACGAGGAGCAAGGCGACGCGGUGGCACUGGCGAGAUCGACGUCCUCCUCUGAAGACAACGACAGCAGCCACUGACUGAAUCUCUGAACUUUCUGAACUUUGACAAAGACAGUGCAUUGCAGGUGUUCGACAGAAGGCUUAGGCUAUGAGAUAAAUUUUUCUGGAGCUGUAACUUGGUGAGAUGACCACUCAAUGCACCCAGAGGCUGCCUGAUUUUACUUGGAAUUUUUGGAGAAGGUUUGGAAUGAAUUUCACCAAAUUUGACAAAUCUGGUCCAAACUUGCAGCAAGUGUAGUUUGAAAAUUUUGAACUGUAGACCAGUGGAUCUUCAUGGUUCUAGGUUGAGGGUUCAAAGGACUAGGAGGGGAAAAAGGUUUGGUGCCAAAAAUCAAGACAGAAAGUGGGGUUCCUUUGUAAAUCUCCAAGUGGUAGAAUAGAAGACAGAAAUUUGUUUGAAUAUAAUUUGAAUGGAAAUAAUCACAUGGGGAGGUUCAACUUGCUGGAUUUGAUGCAAAUCAUGAUCCAAAGGUGAGGAAGUGGUUACGAGAGAGGAUUUGCACUAAGGCCAUGGCAAGAAGGAUUUGUUGAAAGUGGCAAAGGAUUUUCCAAAAGCCAUAGUGCAAAUUCAAAAAGAUUUUCAAAAGUUAUUUUCCCAAAUGAAAAACAUUUUGUCUUGAGUCCAAAAGAAAAGCAAGAACUUCCAAGUCCAAAGGCAGAUCUUGGGUGAAUCCAAACAAAACUUUUGCCAUAAAGAAAAAUAUAUGAGAGGGAGAGUUCUCUUGAAGAAAAAUUUAAAUCACUCCCCUCAAGUCAAAUAAAAUCUUUUGAAAAAUCCAAAUAAAAACUUGGGUGUCACACACGGCCCAUUAUCAGCAGCAACAGCUCAAGACCCUCGCGCGGGGCCAAGCCUCGUGAGGCGGACGACACCAAGACCUCCCUGGGGGCAGUCCCACUAGACUGGCUCCCGAGGAGCGGAGAUAUCUAUGCAAGGGGCACCUCGCGAGGUGCACAUGAUGUCAGCCAUGACGACCCAGGCCAGGCGGGCGCCAGCGGGCCCAGUGUACCAGUUUCCCCUUUGGUGCUAAGGAGGCAAGCGCAGGCGCGGAGUGCCGAGGAAUCAAGGAAAGGUUUCCUUAUCGGUGCAACAAGACCAAGACCAGCAGGACAGCAAGACGCAGGUCAUCGCGGAGCCCACAUCAGCGUCACCACCAGAGACUUUGGCAGGCGAAGACUACUUUUGUCAGGAUAGCUUGUACUAGUUGUCUCCCUUCAAACUUGGCCAUUGUGGGAUCCCUUCCCGCCUAACAUUUGGGAAGAGGACCGGGGCCUCUACAAAUAGGACUUAGCCACCACCAUAGAGGGGUAUCGAAUCUUGGAUCGAAGCCAUUCCACCAAGGCCAUCUCACCAGCUCAUUGAGCUCAAGAACACCUCACCUCCUGAGGUUGUUCCACCACUGUACUAGUUCAUCCUCAGCCCCUCGAGGUAAUCCACCACACACUGGAGUAGGGUAUUACACCGCAAGGUGGCCCGAACCAGUAUAAACUCAUGUGUCUCUUGUUCUUGGGUUCAUCGAGCUAGGCCGGGGAAUCGUUGGGUAGGCAGGCCGGGGAGAGAGAGAGAGUUCUUCAUGUGCACCCCAGAGUUCGAACCUCUCAAGGGGAUGCGGAACCCAUAAUCCGACAUUUGGCGCACCAGGUAGGGGUGCGCCGAAGCCUCUCUUCCAUCGAUCGACUCGCCAUCACCCUGCGGCUCUGAUAGCUGACGGUUCGAGGGCUAACGCCGAGCACUGGGCUGCCUGGCCCGCUCGGGCGGCGUCAUCAGCUCAAGAAGACCUCAACUCCGCGCUCCAGGCGGCGCGUACACCGCCCAACACCACCGGACGCGGGCGGUGCGGGCCGGCGCUGUCCGCCCUCGCACCGCGGUGCACGCGUGCCACCACACGAUCUUCAGGCUACGCUGCGGCGAGGGCACCGCACACCCGACGGGAGCAGGCGAACAUGCGAGCCGUGCUCAUCAUGGCACGGGAGCUGCUGCGGUGCAGGCUGGCGGACGGCGGCCGUGACGCACAGCUGGAGCACGUCACCGAACUGCUCGACGCUUCUUGCAGGGAUACGGGGCCUUUCUGCUCCUUGCCCACGCCACAGGUUGUGGCAGAAACGCGCGUGAGGCCCCGGCGAUCUCGCGCGCCCCCUGGAGCUCUAGGGGGCCCAGCAUCACCAACGUAGAUCACGACGCAGCCCGCCCUCUCGCGCACCCUCUCGGCAAGUCGAUAUCUUCCAUAGUUGAAUACGCCGCCGCACUCCCUUGAAUAGCUCUACAAGCUUCUCCAUACUCCUUGGAGGGGAGUCAGAUGGCCAUAAGGCCUUGGCUACACUCCGCAUUGCCUGCCGAGCUUGCUCGUGCAACUGCCACAGCCCUUGCAGGAGAUCACUUGAUGAUCCGGACACCUCCUCUUCAGGACGGCCCGUCAAUAUACCUGCAAUCACAGCUAUAUCAGCUACUUUUACCUCCAAACUGUUAUAAGGUCAAUUCGGCCACGUACUGAAUAUGCCGCCUCGCAGCCUUUUGUUCUCCUUCACGGAGUCGGCUAGCUGGGCUCGUACAUCUUUCAGUUCUUUGCCUAGUUUGGUGUUUGAAUCUUGGAGUUUGUUUUUCUCCUCUCUGACUCGGGCCAGGAUACGUUCGCCUGCAGCGUGUAGUCUUUUUGCCUCUUUCUCCCCCGCUUGAGCGGUUUUCAACUUCUCUUCUAGUUGACCUGAUGAUCCUAUUAUGAGAUAAGCAACAUUAUUAGUACAACCACUGUAUAAUUGUUACUCCUCGAUGGAGGGGAUCCUUACCAGAAGAUGCCUUGUUGGACUCUUUCACAUCGGCGGUAGAAGCAUUUAGCUGUGUCUGAUACUGCUCCAGCUCUUGAGUUAGCAGGUUGUUCCUCUCUGUCAGAACCUGGUUAUACAUCGAUCCUUAAAUCACUUGUGCCAACUACUUUCAGUCUCGGGGGCUACUAGCAUGUGCUUGUCCUUUUCGGACAAAAUAAACCUUACCCGCACAUCCGUUAAAUGCUGCUUUGUGGCUCUACCAAGCCCAUCUCGAGCAGCUCGGAUGUAUGCGUCAGCCGAGUUGAGGGCAUCAAACGCCUCUUUCGAACAGCGGGGGUCUCGUAAAAUGGCCCUCCAACACCGAUGAUUCAUGGCGCUCUCCACUUCCGACUUGGUGACGGACAUAUUUUCCGAACCCUCAGCCGAAGGACAGUCCGGUGUCAGUCCCAUAUCGGCCUCCGUCCCCUCGGUUGGGGCUGGAUCCUGGCUGCUGGGAGUAAUACUGCACGGACCCCGGGACACACAGUCCGGCAGACUCUUUUCCUGAUACGGGAUGAACAUGAAAGUCACAGUUGGAUGCGACUAUUAAAAAACAUAUUUGCAAACCCAUACCUCUUUGACGAGGGCCCGACCGUGUCUUCGCCUGCCUUCGUCUUCGAAGGCUUGCCCGGUGCAGGAGCCUCUCUCUUCAGAGUCGCUCCUUGAGUUGCACGGUAUGUUGAACGCCUCCCCUUCGAAGCACGAGACAGUGCGGUGGGUGAGGCGGAAUGAGGGAAUCCUUUCGGGAAGAUGCCUCCUGACUACUUACAUGUGAAGCGGGGAGAAGAACAGGGUAAUCGACGAUGAUGGCCACUUCGGUGCCGUCGUAGCUCGCCUGGUAAAGCACGCCAUUCUCCAGCACCAUGAAUAUAUCUGGAUCCUCUUCGAAUCCGGGGUCAAGGUUCCGGCUGUGGCCCUCGGGCGGCGGGGCGGGACUAUAAAGCCCCUCGGAAGUCUUUUGCCAGUGCUAUUAUAAAUGGACGGGUUAAGAAAGCUCAGGGAGAGGAAUGAGUGGAGCAAAGAAAGGUUGGGGGCUCACCCAGCUAGGAGGAUUGUACAUGGAAUAUCCUUCUCUGUGCGUGAUGCGCAGGAACUCCUCUUCCUCAUCUUUGAACAGUUCGGCCAAUAUUUUGGCUAGGGCGGCAGGGGUGUCCGGACCUUUCCUGCCGCAGUGGGAGGUGUCAUCUUCCCCAUUGUAAUUCCACAUGGGAAGUCCUCUGUAUUGGAGUGGCUGAACUCCCCGUACUAUGGAGGUCGCCAUCACUUUGACUAUUGUGUACCCGGACUAGGCAAGCGUCCUGAUCAGGAGUUGGCGAACUUCCGCACUAUCUUCCUCCUCGAGGCUCCAAGGGCGCCAGCUGUGGUGCUUCUUCAGAGGAACACCCGCAAACUCGGGGAGACCUCUCCGGACUGGAUCUGGAAGUACGACGUCAUCAAUGUAGAACCACUCGGAGGUCCACUCCUCGGAAGCUUCCUUCGUUGUGCCGGAUAAGUAUCCGGUCUCAGCAAUACGCCAUAUUUCGGCCCCGCCCACUUCAAAUAUCGAUCCCUCUUGGUUGCGUGGGACAAGGCAAAACAACUUUCUCAGCUGGAGGCCAUAAUACUCCAGGAGCCCUCGGAGGAAUGGGUGAAUUGGAAAUCCCACGCCCCUUAGCAAAUAGGGGACGAAGCACACUUGUUCUCCCGCAGACGGAUUGGGGAAAUCCUCCGCCUGGGUUUUGCCAUUGAAGGAGGCCAAUCCUGCUCGAACAGGGACCAGAUCUGCAGGAGGGAGAAAUCCCUGCGUUUGCAACUUCUCCAAUUGGACGUGGGACACGGAGCACCUCUCCCACUCGCCUCUCUCUAGGUUGGAACGGGAGGAGGAGCUAGGAAUGUUAGCCAUGUUGGAGUGGUCUUUCCUGGCAGUCUCUGAGGAUUUCCUCCGCGUGGUGCCGAAUGGAUCUGAGAUCCAAUCUCUUUAAAUAGACGCUUGCUACCUCUUGAGCACUGCGUUGGUUUUCCCUUGAAGAGGAAAGGGUUAUGCAGCAAAGUAGUGUAAGUAUUUCCCUCAGUUUUUGAGAACCAAGGUAUCAAUCCAGUAGGUGGCCACGCAUGAGUCCCUCGCACCUACACAAACACAUAAAUCCUCGCAACCAACGCAAUAAAGGGGUUGUCAAUCCCUUCACGGUCACUUACGAGAGUGAGAUCUGAUAGAUAUGAUAAGAUAAUAUUUUUGGUAUUUUUAUGAUAAAGAUGCAAAGUAAAGAAAGCAAAAUAAAGACGACGCUAGAAAUAACUUGUUGACGGGACUUUAAUAUGAUGGAAAAUAGACCCGGGGGCCAUAGGUUUCACUAGUGGCUUCUCUCAAGAGCAUAAGUAUUACGGUGGGUGAACAAAUUACUGUUGAGCAAUUGACAUAAUUGAGCAUAGUUAUGAGAAUAUCUAGGUAUGAUCAUGUAUAUAGGCAUCACGUCCGAGACAAGUAGACCAACUCCUGCCUACAUCUACUACUAUUACUCCACACAUCGACCGCUAUCCAGCAUGCAUCUAGAGUAUUAAGUUCAUAAGAACGGAGUAACGCUUUAAGUAAGAUGGCAUGAUGUAGAGGGAUAAACUCAUGCAAUAUGAUAUAAACCCCAUCUUGUUAUCCUCGAUGGCAACAAUCCAAUACGUGCCUUGCUGCCCCUACUGUCACUCGGAAAGGACACCGCAAGAUUGAACCCAAAGCUAAGAACUUCUCCCAUUGCAAGAAAGAUCAAUCUAGUAGGCCAAACCAAACUGAUAAUUCGAAGAGACUUGCAAAUAUAACCAAUCAUACAUAAAAGAAUUCAGAGAAGAUUCAUAUAUUGUUCAUAGAUAAACUUGAUCAUAAACCCAUAAUUCAUCGAUCUCAACAAACACACCGCAAAAGAAGAUUACAUCGAAUAGAUCUCCACAAGAGAGGGGGAGAACAUUGUAUUGAGAUCCAAAAAGAGAGAAGAAGCCAUCUAGCUAAUAACUAUGGACCCGAAGGUCUGAGGUAAACUACUCACACAUCAUCGGAGAGGCUAUGGUGUUGAUGCAGAAGCCCUCCGUGGUCGAUGCCCCCUCCGGUGGAGCUCCGGAAAAGGCCCCAAGAUGGGAUCUCACGGGUACAGAAGGUUGCAGCGGUGGAAUUAGGUUUUUGGCUCCGUAUCUGGUAGUUUGGGGGUACGUAGGUGUAUAUAGGAGGAAGAAGUACGUCGGUGGAGCAACGUGGGCCCCACAAGGGUAGAGGGCGCCCCCCUACCUCGUGCCCUCCUGGUUGAUGUCUUGAUGUAGGGUCCAAGUCCUCUGGAUCACGUUCGUUCUGAAAAUCACGUUCCCGAAGGUUUCAUUCUGUUUGGACUCCAUUUGAUAUUCUUUUUCUGCGAAACUCUAAAAUAGGCAAAAAACAGCAAUUCUGGGCUGGGCCUCCGGUUAAUAGGUUAGUCCCAAAAAUAAUAUAAAAGUGUAUAAUAAAGCCCAUUAAUGUCCAAAACAGAAUAUAAUGUAGCAUGGAACAAUCAAAAAUUAUAGAUACGUUGGAGAUGUAUCAACGCUCUUUCUGGCAUGGCUAGGGUGUUAUUUGCAAAAAAGACCCUGACCAUCCGCAUUCGCCCGACAUGUGGAAGAUGAAGUCAUAGGUACACAGAAGCCGAGGGGUGCAGCAUUGAAUUAAAAGCCGAAUACAUUACUUGGAAGCCGUCGGAAGGGGGACCCGCCUUGCAAUGCCGAAGACUAUCUGCGCGCCGAACACCUCGUCAUUGAAGCCUGGUUCGGGGGCUAUUGAGGGAGUCCUGGACUAAGGGGUCCUCGGGCGUCCGGCCUGUUAGCCAUGGGCCGGACUGAUGGGCUAUGAAGAUACGAAGACCGAAGACUGCACCCGUGUCCGGAUGGGACUCUCCUUGGCGUGGAAGGCAAGCUUGUCGGCCGAAUAUGUAGAUUCCUUUCCUUUGUAACCGACCUUGUGUAACCCUAGAUCCUCCCAGUGUCUAUAUAAACCGGAGGACUUAGUCUGGAAAGGGAUACUCAUUACCAUAGUCAUACAGGCUAGACUUCUAGGGUUUAGCCAUUACGAUCUCGUGGUAGAUCAACUCUUGUAAUACUCAUAUCCAUCAAGAUCAAUCAAGCAGGAAGUAGGGUAUUACCUCCAUAGAGAGGGCCCAAACCUGGGUAAACAUCGUGUCCCCUGUCUCCUGUUACCAUCGACCUUAGACGCACAGUUCGGGACCCCCUACCCGAGAUCCGCCGGUUUUGACACCGACAACGACACACCUCCUCCCUGUUCUGCUGCGCGAGGGACGCGGCGUCAUCAAUCUGCUGCUGGAGCGUGAAUAGAUCAGCAUGUGCGAAGGCUAGGUCGGCCUGGGCAGAGGACUGGGCCUCCACGGUGGUCCUCUCGCGUUGCUCCGCCUCGUCCAACCUUGACCUGAUGGGGGUGGUCCUGCCCUCAGCUUCGGCCUCCAGGAACUUCAGCUUCAGGUCGUACUCGUUGGCAAGGUCUGCACGAGCCUUAGCCACCCUCCGAUCGACCUCCUCCUAGAUCUUGGCUUCGCGUGCAGUGACGGCAUCCUUAGCCAUGGCCACAUGGCGCUCCCUCGUCUACAGCCGCUCAAGCUCGAGGUUGCGCUCCGAGGCCUCCAACAUCAGCGCCUCUUCACGCUUCUGGAUCUCCUUCUCUUUGGAAGGCUCCCCCCUCAUUGACGCCAAGACGGCCCUGCGCGCCUCGACCUGCUGCUCGAGGAUAGCAUUCAAGGCCCGGAGCUCCCGUUUGCGCUCCUCGGCGACCUCGCGGCGGCGAUCAGCCUCCCUGGCCUCCUCCAAGGCCCAGGCGCUAGCCUCGCGCAAGGUUGCAAGGGACGCCUCGGCCUUCGCACUGGUCCGCUCGUGCUGAAGACAGGUUGAUGGCCACCUUCAAUUAACACCAUUCGUCCGCCAGCCGAAGGCCCUCUAUCUCAAGGCGGGCGUCAACAUCGACAAGCUCUUCCUCGAGCCGGCUCAGCGCACCCAUCUCCUCCUGGAAGAGCUCGUGGCGGAUAGGCGCCGGGAAUCGUCGGGGGAGCUUGAGGUGGCUUGCCUGCUCCUAGCAGGGGGCUGGAGGCCGACGCCUUCCCCGCCGCCCUUCGGGCCUCGGUAGAGGCGCUGUGGGGCGAGGCCUCACAGCUCGAAGACGAGGCCAGGGCGGAGGUCGCCCAGCUGCGGGCAAUGACCAAUGGAGGAGCCUCGACACAUCUUCAGCACCCCAGACAGGACUAUGAAGGAGGGACGACAAGAACACAGGGUCAAGACACCUGGUCGGCACGUCCGCCUCUUCAAUAGGCCUCAUGCCAUGCGCAGCAGACUGUCCAGGAAUGCUUAGGACCAGUGGUGAGCCCGGAACGGGCGAAGGUCGCUUCUCAAGAGAUUUCGCCGCUCCCGCCGGGGGGACCCUAAAGAGUUGUGGUCAGGAAGGGAUGCGGCACUCAGGAAAUCACACAGAUGAGGUACUUACUCAUCUUUUGCUAUGUACUUCCUCUGCUUCAACGGCCGGUAGGCACCACCAUUGCAGCUUGGAGACACCUUCCUCUUGCAGAGUGCUCUGAAGUUCAGGCGAAGCUGGCCGAAGCCCUGGGCGCGACCGCCAUCGCCUGGGGUAGUUGGCGGGGCUCCUGAGGGGACGACCUCGGGAGCGUCAGGCUGCGCCGCCCCCUCAGCCUCCGCCUUAGGGCAGUUCGCCCGAGCCUCGGGGGCUUCCACCCAGGAGCCUCGAACCGCGUCGGCCCUCCGGCCACCACCUUAGGACAACUCGCCCGAGCCCCAAGAGCUGUCACCUCGGGAGCCAUGACCAAAGUCGCCCUCCCCCCGCACCCGCUUCCGGGGCAGGCGCUGAGGUGACAGCAGGCAAAGGAACCACAAGAACGGGGCUCUCGCUGGGCCCUUCAAGGCCGACUGGGCGCAGUCCCCAUUCGUCGAAAGGGGGCAUCUGCCUCGCAAACUCCACCUUGUUCGAGCAGCAGUACAGGAGGAAACCCUCCUCCGGUAGAUUGGCUGGCGCCAGGUCGCCCGUCAAGAGCUCAAGCACCGUCCGCGGUGCCUCAGUAGGAAGUGGAGGCACGUGAAGCCUUAUGGGGUCCCUGCUGCCGGAGAAGGUCCACAUCGGUCGGGAGUGACGCUAGAGUAGAGCAAUGUGGCACCGGAUGAACUCCUUCACCACCAUAGGCGCCGUCACCCCAAGGUCCUUCAACCUGGCCAGCUGACACCAGACAUGGGCGAGUCACCGGUCGACGAGCUUUGCAUGCCCCCAGCCGGAGCUCGGGAUGGCCGGUGCCCAUGGAAGCAGGAGCUGAGGGCUGAGCACGCCAACAUCCAUGAAUACCCACCGCUUCCGGAAUCCAUCCAACACUGGCGAGAGCUCGAAGUCGAUCCCCAACCCGGCCGUCGCCGCUACGGCAUGGAAGGUCACGCACCCCGAGCGCUGGCAGGCGUCAGUCAGAUGCAGCGAGAAGAAAUGGCAAAGCAAAGCCACGGAAGGGGCAAUGCCCACCAUGGCCUCGCAGACGAAGGCGCAGACGGCGAGGAGGAUGAUUGACUAGGGAUCCAGGUGCACCACAUUGAGUUGGUAAUGCGAGAGCACGACAUUGAAGAAAUCGGAGAAGGGGGAAUUAGGCCGUCCUAUCAACCGCGGUGCGGGAAGCAGGCCAAGCCGUUGUCGCUUUUCAUUCAUUGGAAUCGGCGGCGAGCGCUGGGCGAACCUUGUCCAAUCCUUCCUGGUUGACCACCACCGACCGCUCGAUGGCGGGCUCGAAGACUGGCGGCGGUUGGGCUGAGGUGCGGGUUUUCCCCUUUCCCUUCUUCUUCUAGCACGACGCCAUGGCGACAGGGAGCAUCGGUGCCAGGUCAGGCCGGGGGAGGAAACCGCUGUUUUCUGGAAGAUGGAGGUGCUAUGGGAGCUUGCUGCCAGCAAUGGAGGUGGAAUUGUGUUGACAACAGCAGCUGCCUAGCCUGGCGGAUAUCAAGGCUGCGUGGGGGAGUGGAGGUGCCAUCAUACUCAAAGUGGAUGGCGAGGGCCCCCUCCGCACGACAAGCGCGGGCGACCUCGCCCCAUCCACGGGUCAUGAAGAUGGUGCCCAGGGAGACGACCUCGACCUCCGCCCCCGUGGCCAGAGUGCUGCACUCGGCGUGCUGCAGCCACAGCUCAAGCGGCCCCCUUGGCGGCAUCUCCUGGGCGAAGAACCGCGGGAACUGGAUCCAUGUGCGUGGUGGCAUCGCCGCCCACACCACAAACACGCGCGAGGAGCCUUCGGCCUGGGUUCGGGGGCCGGCGGCUCGUGCGACCAUAACUUGGCCACCACGGCCGUGAUGCGAGCGGCACGGGGCACUGCCCCCUCCUCCAGAUCCUUACGCUUCGGCGUACAAGGGCAGCGGGUAGCCGGGAGGAGGCCACUCGUACCAAGGCCUCGUCACUUCCAGCCUCAUGCCAGCGUCGCGGGAGUAGCUGAACCUCUUCUUCGGCGGAAGUGCCCCCUGCUCCUCGCGGGGGUUUUUCCCCUUCUCGGUGGCGGAGAAUCUCCUUAUCGGCGCCAUGAGUGUCGCGGCAAGAAGGCGAGGCGAAGAAGAAGAAGAAGGAGCAGGCGGCGAGAAGAAGCAUAUGAGCAACGGGGGCUUCGCCCCUCUCCUCAUUUAUAGCUGGAAGGAGGCCAACCACCGGCCUCCAUGAUCGCACGUAAUGAUGUUUUCUUCUGCAUGCAGCAGGGUCUCGUCAAGUUGAACGGUUGCCGAGGCAGCGUGGGGAAGCGGAGGCGCCCGCGUCCCAUCUGUCGCCACGUGUCAACCGAGGCCGCAGACGGUUGGGGCCCGCGGCACUCCGCACUUGCCUUUUGGCUUCGUCUCGAAGCCAAGUUCGAGCGCGCCUUGGGCCCGGGGGCUACUGUCGGCGUCCUGGGAAUGAGGGUGCCCAGACUUGCCUACCUGCAGCCCGCGAGCAUGGCUCCAUCAAUGGCCCGGUACGGCCCAGCUUCAGCAGCAACAGCUCAAGACCCUCAUGAGGGGCCAAGCCUCGCAAGGCGAACGACACCAAGACCUCCCUGGGGGCACUCCCACUAGGCUGGCUCCCGAGGAGGGGAGAUAUCUAUGCAAGGGGCACCUUGUGAGGUGCACAUGACGUGAGCCAUGACGACCCAGGCCAGGCGGGUGCCAGCGAGCGUAGUGUGCCAGUUUCCCCUUUGAUGCUAUGGAGGAAAGUGCAGGCGCGGAGUCCCGAUGAAUCAAGGAAAGGUUUCCUUAUCAGUGCAACAAGACCAAUGCCAGCAGGACAGCAGGACGGAGGUCAUCGUGGAGCCCACAGCAGCGUCACCACCAGAGCCUUUGGCAAGCAAAGACUACUUUUGUCAGGAUAGCUUGUACUAGUUGUAUCCCUUCAAACUUGGCCGUUGUGGGUUCCCUUCCCGCCUAACAUUUGGGAGGAGGACCACGACCUCUAUAAAUAGGACUUAGCCACCACCAUAGAGGGGGAUCGAAUCUUGGAUUGGAGCCAUUCCGCGAAGGCCAUCUCACCAGCUCAUCGAGCUCAAGAACACCUCACCUCCCGAGGCUGUUCCACCACUGUACUAGUUCAUCCUCAGCCCCUCGAGGCAAUCCACCACACACUGGAGUAGGGGAUUACACCGCAAGGUGGCCCAAACCAGUAUAAACCCAUGUGUCUCUUGUUCUUCAGGUUCAUCGAGCUAGGCCGUGGAAUCGUUGGGUAGGCAGGACAGGGAGAGAGAGAGUUCUUCGUGCGCACCCCAGAGUUCGAACCUCUCAAGGGUCUACGAAACCCGUAAUCCGACACAUACAACGGGUGCAAGACAAUUUUGCACAUGCGGAAUACUUGAGUUAAACUGGACGAGCCUAGCAUGUACAGACAUGGCCCUGGAACACUGGAGACCGAAAGGAUGUCUAUCUAAGUGGGAGCCUAGCAUGAUCGGACAUGGUUUAGUUGACUUGGAUCACGUGAUCAUUUAGAUGACCCGAGGGAUGUCUAAGUGGGAGUUCUUAAGUAAUAUGAUUAAUUGAACUUAAUUUAUCAUGAACUUACUCCUGAUAGUAUUUGCAUAUCUAUGUUAUAGAUCAAUAGCUCGCGUAUAGCUCCCCUAUUUUAUUUUUGAUAUGUUCCUAGAGAAAAAUAAGUUGAAAGAUGAUAGUAGCAAUAAUGUGGAAUGGGUCCGUGAUCUGAGGAUUAUCCGCAUUGCUGCACAGAAGAAUUAUGUCCUUGAUGCACCGCUAGGUGACAGACUUAUUGCAGGAGCAGAUGCAGACGUUAUGAAUGUCUGACAACCUCGGUAUGGUGACUACUUGAUAGUUUAGUGCACCAUGCUAUACGGCUUAGAACCGGGACUUCAAAAAUGUUUUGAAAUCCGCGGAACAUAUGAGAUGUUCCAAGAGUUGAAAUUGGUAUUUCAGACUCAUGCCCAUGUCAAGAGGUAUGAGACCUCUGACAAGUACUUUGCCUACAAGAUUGAGGAGAAUAGCUCAACUAGUGAGCAUGUGCUCUGAAUGUCUGGGUACUACAAUCGCUUGAAUCAAGUGGGAGUUAAUAUUCCAGAUAAGAUAGUGAUUGACAGAGUUCUCUAGUCACUAUGACCAAGUUACUAGAAUUUCAUGAUGAAGUAUAAUAUGCAAGGGAUAACGAAAACGAUUCCCGAGCUCUUCCGAUGCUGAAAUCGGCGAAGGUAGAAAUCAAGAAAGAGCAUCGAGUGUUGAUGUUUAACAAGACCACUAGUUUCAAGAAAAAGGGAAAAGGGAAAGAAAGGGAACUUCAAGAAGAAUGGCAAGCAAGUUGUCAUUCCCAGGAAGAAGCCCAAAGCUGGAACAAAGCCUGAAACUGAGUGCUUCUACUACAAAGGGACUGGUCACUGGAAACGGAACUGCCCCAAGUAUUUGGCAGAUAAGAAGGAUGGCAAAGUAAAAAAAGGUAUAUUUGAUAUACAUGUUAUUAAUGUGUACUUUACUAGUGUUCAUAGUAACCCCUGAGUAUUUGAUACCAGUUCAGUUGCUAAGAUUAGUAACUCGAAACAGGAGUUACAAAAUGAACAGAGACUAGUUUAGGGCAAGGUAACGAUGUGUGUUGGAAGUGAUUCCAAGGUUGAUAAGAUGACCAUCACAUACUCCCUCUACCUUCGGGAUUAGUGUUGAACCUAAAUAAAUGUUAUUUGGUGUUUGCGUUGAGCAUGAAUAUGAUUGGAUCAUGUUUAUUGCAAUAUAGUUAUUCAUUUAAGGCAGAGAAUAAUUGUUGUUCUAUUUACAUGAAUAAAACUUCAAUGGUCAUACACCCAAUGUGAAUGGUUUGUUGAAUCUCGGUCGUGGUUAUACACAUAUUCAUAAUAUUGAUGCUAAAAGAUGCAAAGUUGACAAUGAUAGUGAAACAUAUUUGUGGCACUGCUGUUUAGGUCAUAUUGGUGUAAAUCACAUGACGAAACUCCAUGCGGAUGGACUUUUGGAAUCACUUGAUUAUGAAUCAUUUGAUGCUUGCGAACCAUGCCUCAUGGGCAAGAUGACUAAGAAUCCGUUCUCCGAAACAAUGGAGUGAACAAUACAUACCGAUGUAUGCGGUCCGAUGAGUGUUGAGGCUCGUGGUGGGUAUCGUUAUUUUCUGACCUUCACAGAUGAUUUGAGCAGAUAUGGGUAUAUCUACUUGAUGAAACACAAGUCUGAAACAUUUAAAAAGUUCAAAGAAUUUCAGAGUGAAGUGGGGAAUCAUCGUAACAAGAAAUACCGGAGGAAUACCUUGUGUGCUAUCAAACGUCACAACGUAACUGGGUUAUUAUAAAGAUGCUCUACAGGUAUUCCCGAAGGUGUUUGUUGGGGCAUAGAUCGAGAUUAGGAUUCGUCACUCCGUGUAUCGGAGAGGUUAAGCCUUGCAAGCAAUGUGACUAAUGAGUUAGUUGCGGGAUGAUGCAUUACAGAACGAGUAAAGAGACUUGCCGGUAACGAGGUUGAACUAGGUAUGAAGAUACCGAUGAUCGAAUCUCGGGCAAGUAACAUACCGAUGACAAAGGGAAUGACGUAUGUUGUCAUUACGGUUUAACCGAUAAAUAUCUUUGUAGAAUAUGUAGGAACCAAUAUGAGCAUCCAGGUUCCGCUAUUGGUUCUUGACCGGAGAGGUGUCUCAGUCAUGUCUACAUAGUUCUCAGACCCAUAGGGUCUGCACGCUUAACGUUCGAUGACGAUUUGUAUUAUAUGAGUUAUGUGAUUUGGUGACCGAAUGUUGUUCGGAGUCCCGGAUGAGAUCACGGACAUGACGAGUAGUCUUGAAAAGGUCGAGAGGUAAAUAUUGAUAUAGGACGAUGGUAUUCGGACACCGGAAGUGUUUCGGGAUGCACCGGUACUUAUCGGGUCACCGGAAGGGGCUCUGGGCAGCCCCGACAAAAGAUAUGGGCCAAGAGGGGAAACACACCAGCCGCAAAGGGGCUGGUGCACCCCCCAUAUGGGUUGGCCAAAUUGGAGAAGGAAAGGGGAAGAAGGAAAGGAAAUAGGGAAUAGGAUUCCCCCUUCCACCUGUUCCCUUCCUACUCCGAAUAGGAAUAGGAAAGGGGGGAGGCCGAAUUGGGAGGACCCCAAGUAGGAUUCCUCCUACUUGGGGUGCCCCCUUGGGUGCCUCUCCUCCCCUCCAAACUAUAUAUAUGUGGGGGGCACCGCUAGAACACACACCAACAAUUGUUAGCUGUGUGCGGCGCCCCCCUCCACAGUUUACGCCUCCGGUCAUAUCUUCGUAGUGCUUAGGCGAAGCCCUACGCGGAUCACUUCACCAUCAUCGUCACCACACCGUCGUGCUGAUGGAACUCUCCCUCGACACUUUGCUGGAUCAAGAGUUCGAGGGACAUCAUCGAGCUGAACAUGUGCAGAACUCGGAGGUGCCGUACAUUCAGUGCUUGAUCGGUCGGAACGAGAAGAAGUUCGACUACAUCAACCGCGUUGUCAAACGCUUCCGCUUUCGGUCUACGAGGGUACGUGGACACACUCUCCCCCUCUCAUUGCUAUUCAUCUCCUAGAUAGAUCUUGCGUGAGCAUAGGAUUUUUUUUUUGAAAUUUCAUGCUACAUUACCCAACAAUAUUAAGUCUCGUACUACGUACAUUCAAAUGUUGUUUUUAGCCCCCCCCCCUCGGCACACAUGCUACAUACUUCCUGUAUCGAUCAAUCUUCCUCUCCUAACCAGCUUAGGCAGCUACUGGUUUCCAACACACGUUCAUUCUUUAUCUCCAUGUUUCGAUCUCUAACUCUCUCAACUACACAACCCUCUUUUUCCACUCUGUUACCAAAUGUAUCUACCUCACACACACGCCAUUGCACCCCAUGCCGAGCUCUCUCUCUCUCUCUCUCUCUCUCUCUCCCUCCCACCCUCUCUUCCUAGAUACAUGCAUUGCCUAUCUAUCCCCCCUCUCGUGUGCACGCACGCACGUUGUCUAUCUAGGUCACCCUCUCGAGACUGUCUCACUCUUUCUUCCGCACGGCGGGCCACACUCGCUCAAUGUCGCUCUCUUUAUCUAUGUCUCGAUUAACCUCGCUUUCUUUCACACACAAAUGAUAUAUCUCCCUGUUCGGGCCUCGAUCGACACACUCUAUACUCUCUCACGUAGAUUGUCUAUCUAGGUCAGUCCAUCCAAGCCGCCCCCACUCUUUCGACCUCAUGGUGGGCCAUGCUCGCUCAAUAUCUCUCUCUCUCCCUCUCUCUCUGUCUUUGUGUGUGUGUGUGUCUCUCUCUCUCUCUUUGUAUAUCUUGAUUGACCUCGCUCUUUCUCGGACACAAACGAUAUAUCUCCAUGUUUGAGCCCAAUUCGACAUAUUCAUAUUGUAUACUCUCUCACGCACAUUGUCUAUCUAGGUCACUCUCUCCAACCCAUCUCACUCUUUCGAUCGCAUGACGACCCACACUCGCUCAAUCUCUCUCCCUUUAUAUGUGUAAUCGAUUGACCUUGCUUCUGCCCAUGGACAAAAUGUAUCCACAUGUUUGUGACUGGAUCAUCUCUCAAGCUCUAUCUUAUAGCCCUCACCCUUCCCAAAAGCUCAAUCGGACAAUAUCUCUCCAGAGCAUAUAUAUCUUUUCAACGAAUGUCGGACCAUGCUCACUUUGUCUCUCUAUCUAUCCGUGUCUUGAUUGACCUCACUUUCUCACGCCGUAUAUUCCACACUUUGAAGCUACCUCUACAUCCCUCGCAGAGCCGGAGCUAUUUACAUUGCGAGGGGGACUCCAACCUUGGAUUAAUUUGUGAAGGCAUUUAUUCUGGUGGGUUUAGAUUAUAUUUUCAUAGCAUUCGGCCCACAACUACUCCAAACACCGUUGCAAUGUCACACCCUGAUUUUCAUGCCACAACACUUAAGCUAAUAAAUCAUGGUAAAAUGUGGUUUGACGAAAAACUUUUGAGUGUUUUGGACUUUGCUUGAUUUGAUUUUUGUGUGUUGGUUGCAAGUGCUCUAAAAAUCAAAUAAAUUCUCCAACUCUUAUACUCCUUCUCCUUGAUCCAAAACCUUGCCCAAUGAUCAUGCCAUGUGUAUAGGACAUAAAAAUAAAUCCUUACAAAAAUAAUUUGGCCAAAUAGUAUUUUGAAAAAUUAGUUUUCCAAAAACCCCUGAAUUGAGAUUUGCACUGCAAGUACUUGAUUUCGGGUGUGAAAAAUCUUUCAAAAGGUAUAUUUGAAACCUAUUAGGUAUAGGACUCCCAUAAACCACAAAAAUAUAAUUUCAAAAUUUAUUUUCCUAUUUUAUUUAAAGGCUUUUUCUUAAGGCCAGAAAUGGUCUUUAAUAGGUUAAAAUUAUUUUAAAGGUUCAAAAAUAUUUGAGAAAAAUCAGGGAAACUCAGUGGACAUAUAUUUUCCAUAUAUAAGAGUUUCAACACAUGGUCAUGUUCAAAUUAUUGGUCAAACCCCUCAAAUACCCUUUCUGGACAUUUCAAGUUUUUGAAAUGUUUACAAAGGAAAUAUUCUCCAUUAAAUACAGGAAAAUUCUAGCAUGUCAAAAAUGACCUACUUGAGGAUCCUACAAAGUCUCAUGUGAUGGAGAAGAAUAUAGCCCCACCAAACCCUCUCAAAACCAUUUAUGUCCUUUUCCAAGUUUGAACAACUUUGCACUGCCAAACAUGUCCAAAUGCUCUCAAACUUGGUGCACAUGCUCAAAUGGUGUAAUAAUGCAUCUAGACCAAAUGACACAAGUUGGAGAGAAGGAUAUCAUGAUCAAAGUGUUCUAAAACCCUUUCUGUCCAGAACCAAAUUUGAACAACUCUACAUUGCCAAGUGUGUCCUUUUGAUCUGAAUUUUUGUGGACAUGUUCAAACCCUCAAAUUAUGACGCUACACCAAGUGGUGCAUCAAGGCGAAUAGAUUUGCAUGACUAAAUCUUGGAAAAGCCAUUUCUGUUGAUUUCUAGGGUUUACCAAAGUUACGUUGGCCACUUUGCCCAAAUGAGCUCAAACUUGGUGGAACACCCUACUUCUAUGUGCCAUUUCAUCCUGUUAAGUUUCAUGUCAAGUGAAAUUAAAUUCCUUGCCCAAACCAUCACCAAAAACCUUCUGGGAGAAUUUCAAAAUGCAAGUUUCAACCCCUUCCACUAAUCUCCAUGAGCUGAAACUCUUCCCACAGCCUCAUCUGGUCCUCCUCUACCCCCUGCAUCUUUCCCUGCCCGAGGAGCCAUGAUUAAGGGGGGGUAGAACCUCAUUUUUCUUCCCUAGACAACCGUUUUCCCUCUCUCUCUCUCUCUACCCCACGCUCCUCCAGUUGCUUCCCAGGGCAUCCAAUGUCAGUUUCCCAUUGUUUACUCCCCCCUGCAGCUGCCAGACACAAGUGGACGCGCUGGUCUGCGCGAAAAGCCGUAGACGCCGGCCAAAGACGCGCUCAGGAGCACAUCAUCGCGCUCCCGACCGUUGACGCCGCAUCCCCCGACCACCUCGAGCCUCCCCCUCACUCUAGUCGAGGUCCUCGACGUCCGCAACACGACAGCCGUGCAGGCCCCCUCCUCUCCUCCUCUCUCUCACCUCCCACGGCGCGUGCCCGACGCCGCUUGAUACCGCCAAUGUUGUGCGAGCUCGUGGCUCCACCCGGAGCUCGCCCCGCUCCCUCUCUCUCUUCCUGGCGUCCUACUCCACCCCACGAGCACCGCGGACAAUCCCUCGCUCUCUCUCUUGGCCGCCCGAGCCGUUGCCGUGGCCACCCAUGCGCCGCGUCCACGGUGAGCCACGACUCGGCUACUUAAGGCCGCCCCCGAGCCCCCUCUCUACUCCUUUGGCUCUCUCUCUCCCUCCCGUGCAUCCCCUGGACCAACCCACUCCCCUCUUCGCGCUCUCCAUCCGCCACGAUGGCCGGAGCCUUGCCGUCGGCCUCCGCCUAAAUUCGCACCCACCACUCCUCCUCCUCCCCUCUAGACCGCACUAGAGCACCUCCACCAUCACCGCGAGACCCUCCCGUGCUUCUCCCUUUCCUCCCCGUGGCUGUUCCGUCGAGUUCUACCACCACCGGCGGCCUCGCCCGCCGCGGCCGAUGAUGCGCUCGUGUCUGGCCACCCCUGCGAUCAUGGCGCACCUCGGAGGAUGCGGCACGCUCUCCUGAGCACGCCGGUAUGCCGGGCGUCGCCGGAGGUGGCUGGUACCGCCGGGGAGAACGCCGGCGUCCACUCGGCCUCGCCUCCCCUGCCUCUGCUCUGUUCGAGUGGGAGGUAGGAGACGGCCUGAGCACCGGGCCCCGCUCGUCAGCGACCCGGUGGGCGGGCCCCGCCCGUUUAAGUGGAGAUGGGCCGGGAGUAAACCCGCUUCAGGCGCAGCGAAGGCGUACUCCGUCCGGGGCGCCUUCCACGUCGCCCCUGCCACCCGCGCAGCUGAGCCGCUGGGCCGGCCCACUGCUAUCUCCCGCCCAGUGCGCAGGAUAAGGGUAAAACCUUUUCCCUUUUCUUUUUCUUUUCUGUAAACUUGUAAAAUUCACAAAUAACUCUUAUGAACUCCAAAUCUAGUAAUUCAAAUUUCUAGUGACUCCAUAAAUCAUGAUCUACCUCUUGGUGCAACAUGCACAUUUUUCCAGAACAACUUUCGUCACACAAAUUAAAUAAAAUCCCAUUUUCCAUUUCUGUGAUGAACUUUAGGAAAUCACAGAGAGAUCAUCUUUGAUCCAAAUGCCAUGAUUCAAAUUUCUAGAUGCUCCUGAGUUUAUAACUUAGGUUAUGAACAUUUCUUUUAAUACUUUCUGUGCCACACAAUAUAAUAUGCCAUUUCUUCAUAUUUGUCAACUUUGCCAAUUCAUAGGGAAUUCAUUUGAACUCCAAAUACAGUGAAACCAACUCCUAGAUGCUUCUAAAAACAUGAUUUGUUAAAUGGGUGCCUUUGCUCAUUUUUCAAAAAUAUAUUUCUGUACACUUCUGGCAGAUCUAUAACUCCAUUGAUUUUAUCAUAUUGGAAUACUCAAAAAUAUCCACUGAUCCAGUCCCAAUGAAACCACACUGGUUAUUUUUCAUAUAACCAGAGAUGUCCUAGAAAAGUAAAAUUCAUAUUUUUAGAGCACUUUUAUUUUCUGCCUUGCUGUGUUGCUUACUAUGAUUGUUUCCAAUGUUAGUUGACGAAGUAGAUGAAAUACUCGAAGAUGGACUAGAAGACUUGAAGACUCUGAUGAAUCAGGCAAGCAGCCUUUUGACCAUGUCUAAGAAACCCUUUUUAUGCAUGUCAUAUGGCACUUUCAUUGCUUGCAUCGAAGUCAUGAUAAAAUGGUGACCACUUGAGGUGGUUUGCCUCCGUUGCUUUCUCGUUGACACUUGCAUGAUGCAUGACCCUACCUUUCUAUGAGGGUUAUGCGAGUGGGUGUAGUUAGGAUGCUAAGUAACUGCUGCGCAAAUGGGUUGGGUAUAUGCAUGGUGAUGGGAGCAAGAUUGUUUCAAAAGACUUUUCAAAAACCCUGUCGGGUGCCACUUAUACCCGAAGGAGAUAAUGAAUUGGGUAACCACUUGAUGACGAAGUGGUGUACCGAGGCAAGUGUGUGUGUUAUCUUCAAAACGGAUUGGUUUAAGUUGCUACCGUUAUUCCAACCUUACAUGCGCAACCACUCUACCCUUAUAUGGGAAAGGGCAUUAUUGAUUACCUAGGCCGAUACUAGCUUGGAGCCCGCAUUACCAGUGACGGGAGAGUCGUUGUUGCGCUCUCUUGGGACGGGGUCGUGCCAGGUAGGGCGGCCAUGACUGUUUUCACAGGGCACCGGACACACCGUUGGUACCCCGUGCUUGUGGUAUGUGAUGAAUAUGGGAGCAAGGCUCCACAAUUUUAAGAUGUGAAAUGUUGGGCACGGGGGUUACUAUCAAUCGAGUGGACUCUAUGUUAGUGUCGUCUAGGGAAAUAUAGUGAUCGGGUGCUUACCCCGGGUACUUGAGGUACCGCGGGUCGUGGAUGACACGGAAGUUCCCCGAAUCUUGUUGGUAAAGUGUGCAACCUCUACAGAGUGUAAAACUAUUCGAAUAGCCGUGUCCACAGUCAAGGACAGUUGGGUAACCGCUCUUGGGCUACGUCCACAUGUUUACAAACCAGUGUGUGUGUUUGGAUAAGUGGGAAGAACUACUUGGAUCAAGUCAAAGGACUUGACAUGAUUGAGUUGGGUUGAUGCCCACUUCAUUUAUGUUGAUAUCUGUAACCAGUCCUAUGGUUACUUGAAUUUGUAGGAUGCAUGUUUUACCAAUUGUUGAACAUGUCAUAGCACAGCAAAACUAGAUUUCUACAAAAUUUACCUAUAUCAUGCAUUGUUGUAUCUUGAACCAAAACAUGGGUUGCUUGCGAGUACAUUCAAAGUACUCAUUGUCUUGCCACUGGUUAUUUUAUUGGCCAGGCUUGAAAGAACAAGUUAUGAUGAAGAAUACUUCGGUGACGAACAUUCGAGCUAAGACGCUUCCCAGUCAGAAUGCAUGUAGGGUUAAGGCAGAUGGCAUGGGUCCAAGAGGUCGACGAAGAUAUCCGCUGCGAUGUUAUACUCAAGACUUGACCAUAAUGGUCCUAUUUGUGUAACACGGUAAGUAUGGAUGUAAGACUCUUGUUAUUCAGCUUCUGUGUGUCCAGUGAGCAUUGAUAUCUGGGAUCACUGUACACGUGCAUUCGGUGAUCACGACUUAUGAGUCGGGGUCCGCACAGAGCUGGUAUCAGAGCCAGGUUGACUGUAGGAAGCCUUAGUUAGCAUGGUCGUUAGUUAGGGUUAAAACUAUUUCCAAAACUAUUACCAGUUUUCAAAACUAUCUAUACUUCUCUUCCCUUCUCAGUUUUUCGAAAACUAAGGAAUACUUUCCUUAUUUAUCUCUUCCCCUUCAAAACUUUUGGUCGCUAGAACCCUUAUGCCCCUGUCCACUGGAUUCCUUGUAAUCCUCGUGGAUAAUCUAGAAGGAAGAUGCCUUGUCAGACAUUCACCCACAUCUUCUGAACACAAGAUUGGCGACACCUCGACAAGAUGAUACCAACAAAAGAUACAUCCUCAAGGAAUGAGGACAUGAAUACCCAGAAGAUGGUGACACCCUUGACACUGCCCCAAGAUGAUGCGACCUUAGCCUGCAAUGAUCAGGUCAUAGGAUAUGCAAGAUCAUGAUAUACAUCGCUAAUAGGGUAACCCUGUCACUACCGUUGUUGUACCGGCAACCACCGGUGGAUGAGAACCUCGCCAUUUGGUCCGCCUUACUAUAGUGAGUAGGAAAACGGUUCUCUUCAUCCCCCGCUCUCGGUGACGAUAUUGUCAAUAAUGUGUCUGAUAGAUUGGACCUCUACUAUGUCUUGUUAAGGUCAUUGCAUAAAGGAUUGCCACCUGGAACCGCCGACACCUUAAAAAGGCAAAAGUGAUCGUCAUGAUUAAGAAGACAAGAGGAGACCAAGUCAACGCCAGCUACGAGGAGCCGCCUUCACCCCAUCACUUCGACAUGCGAGAAGUUGUUGAAGAUUCUUCAGGCUCAACCCAGAUUGUUUCGUCAAAAUAAGAGACGUAGCAACACCUGAGGAAAACUCAGAAGACUAGACGAGGCACAAGGCACGACUACUGAGUCCGAGAACCCCUAGGGUAGGAUGAGUCGUGUACCCCCUAUGCGCAGUCGAGUUCGUAUGAUGGUUCGAAUAGAACCAUGAUUGUGUGUUGCUUGUUUUUAUUGUUUGUGUUUUGAUAUAAGUUGCACUUUUGCCCUAGGCAACAAGUACACGACUAUAUCACCUUCCUUACCUUGUUUCUUUUGUUUGGCCCUUUUUGCACCUGUUUGUUUGCACUUGCACUAUAGAACCCCCUUUAGACAUUCCCCUCCUCUAUGCUACUUUUCCCUCUCAUCUCUCUCCUCAACUGAAGGCCUGCAAGACAAGAUACACCAAGGGUUCUACUUUGGAACCAACUAGCACUGAAGACUUUUGCUAUAGCCUCCUAGACCAAGUGGAGCCCUAUAGAUUUAUGGUUGCCCCUCAAGAUUAGAAACCCAUUCCUAGACCCUUCGAGACUUCACAAGAUACCCCAGCUCGAAUCCUUAACCAUGUGCUUAACCCACAGAAUUGCAAGAGAACCAGUUAAGCCUCCGUAACCUUGCUUAUCACUGGGUUCAUUAUGGAACUAGUGGACAUAGUGAACUAGCACAUUACGAUCCUAAUAUAGCACGAGAACUGACGAUGCCAUAGGGAAGACCAAUUUGAAGAUGUAGGAAUAGAGGACAAAUGACUUGAUGAGUUUACAUCAGUAGCUGUGAGGGAUUUAUCUGAGACUAUUUGGUGGAUUAUGAGGCUUUCAUAUUGGUAGAUGAACUUGGAGGGAUCAUGUUAAUAGAGUAGCGUAACUUUCAUCACCCUGGAGUAAACUGGAUUUUGUAGGACAAUUAGGAUCACAAGCUGAGAUUCUUGGAGGAAUACGAUUUUGACUUGAACAGAUGAUAUCAAUAGGAGGUUGCUGACAUUACGAAAAUGACUUGGGGGGAACGUGUAUGAAUUCUCGUAGGACAUGAGAUUUGGAUUAAUAGGUGAUCCUAGUGGAGUAAAGAUGCUGAGUAAGUCUACAUGGUUUGGAGUAAAUUGGAUUUGGACUGAAGAUCUCGAUCAUGAUACCAUGUUUCUCGGUGGACGAUAAACUAGGAGAUUGGGUUAAUUGUCGGAGUUGAUUUAGGGGUCUAUAUAAAGCCUGACCUUGGAGUUUACUUGACCAUGAUAAUGGAAAUUGGUGGACUUACUAUAGUAGAGAUAGCCCUUUCAAGUAUUUGGGGAUUAUAGGACAUUAGGAGAUCAUGUGGAACACCAUAAACAUUCGAUUUGUAGAAUUAAUGGACUGUGUAGUGAUCGAUGGAAGUUAAUGGGCUGUUGGAGUUGAUUCAUAGGAAGGCAAAAAGAUCUUGGAGUGGCAUACGACGUGUUUCCUUAGGAUAGAGAUGCACUACCUUGGACCUUGGAAGAAUGGGCUGAGCACUUGGAUUGUGAUGUUUAAUUCAAGCAUAGCAGCUUGUACGUUCUGCCUAUGGAUUAUUUUUGCAUAGAUAUGAGUUUGGGGAUAGUUGACAUGUAUAGUUUUGUUAGACCUCCUCUUGGGAGUCAUGAGGAUAUGAAUAGCAUGAGUAAUGAUUGGAGUUUACCUAUACAAGAUAAUGCUUUCGGUGGAAUAAGGUGAUUUGUUUGAAGGAUUAGGUAGAACUGUUGGUGUCUCAGAAUCUGUGCUCAAGGAUAAGAUGAUAAACGUUCACUCGCACCCUAGAACCCUUGAAUCCCUAAAGCCUUGCCAAGCCAUAACAUGGUCAGAUCAUGACCAUGGGCUUUGGCCCCAGGCCGAGAAGACCCUGACCAAUACUCAACCGUGACCACCACCGAUACCCCAACCUAUACCCUAUGUACCCCGUGGGCAAGUCUUCACGGAGUACUCGAACAAGCUAGUUGUCAUCGUUAUUUGGUGAUAUACUUGUCUACCCGAAGACGGAAGAAGAGUCGUUCAGCUAGUUAGGGGACAUUUGAAGACCGCCAUGUCAAGGAGGAAGAACUAUACCAACCACCAUCGUCAAGACGUAAACAUCCGCAUCGAAGACCAGGUGUAUUUGCAAGCCACUCCUCUCUAAGGAACCAAGCAUUUCCAUGACAAGGAAACCCACACCAAGAUUCAUCGGCCCUCUUCAAGAUCACUCCAAGAUUUAACAACCCCCUCUGAGAUCACUACGAGACGAAGAGACGACAGUUACCAUACGGAGUUACUACCUGAGUUACCCACUGUGCACAACGUUUUCCACGCGACACAACUCCGAAAGUGUUUUCAACUUCCUAACUAGCCGGAUCUCUACAAGGACAUCGAUCACUGAGCCAUCGACCUCCAGCCCGACCUGACCUAUCCGAGAGACCAUUAGCAACCUGGAUCAAGAAGGACGUCUACACAAAGCCACAUCAUCAAUUACUUCAGGGAUCAAUAAAGCACCACACGAAAGCAGAAACAGUAUGAGGACGUGAAGACGACCCCGAAUCCAAGAUUCUGUAUUCCUUUCGAUGCCUAGUUUGGGAAUCUCGGGGACGAGAUUCUGGUAAGGGGUAGGUCUGUCACACCCUGAUUUUCAUGCCACAACACUUAAGCUAAUAAAUCAAGGUAAAAUGUGGUUUGACAAAAAACUUUUGAGUGUUUUGGACUUUGCUUGAUUUGAUUUUUGUGUGUUGGUUGCAAGUGCUCUAAAAAUCAAAUAAAUCCUCCAACUCUUAUACUCCUUCUCCUUGAUCCAAAACCUUGCCCAAUGAUCAUGCCAUGUGUAUAGGACAUAAAAAUAAUUUCUUACAAAAAUAAUUUGGCCAAAUAGUAUUUUGAAAAAUUAGUUUUCCAAAAAUCCCUGAAUUGAGAUUUGCACUGCAAGUACUUGAUUUGGGGUGUGAAACAUCUUUCAAAAGGUAUAUUUGAAACCUAUUAGGUAUAGGACUCCCAUAAACCACAAAAAUAUAAUUUCAAAAUUUAUUUUCCUAUUUUAUUUAAAGGCUUUUUCUUAAGGCCAGAAAUGGUCUUUAAUAGGUUAAAAUUAUUUUAAAGCUUCAAAAAUAUCUGAGAAAAAUCAGGGAAACUCAGUGGACAUAUAUUUUCCAUAUAUAAGAGUUUCAACACAUGGUCAAGUUCAAAUUAUUGGUCAAACCCCUCAAAUACCCUUUCUGGACAUUUCAAGUUUUUGAAAUGUUUACAAAGGAAAUAUUCUCCAUCAAAUACAGGAAAAUUCUAGCAUGUCAAAAAUGACCUACUUGAGGAUACUACAAAGUCUCAUGUCAUGGAGAACAAUAUAGCCCCACCAAACCCUCUCAAAACCAUUUAUGUCCUUUUCCAAGUUUGAACAACUUUGCACUGCCAAACAUGUCCAAAUGCUCUCAAACUUGGUGCACAUGCUCAAAUGGUGUAAUAAUGCAUCUAGACCAAAUGACACAAGUUGGAGAGAAGGAUAUCAUGAUCAAAGUGUUCUAAAACCCUUUCUGUCCAGAACCAAAUUUGAACAACUAUACAUUGCCAAGUGUGUCCUUUUGAUAUGAAUUUUUGUGGACAUGUUCAAACCCUCAAAUGAUGACGCUACAGCAAGUGGUGCAUCAAGGAGAAUAGAUUUUCAUGACUAAAUCUUGGAAAAGCCAUUUCUGUUGAUUUCUAGGGUUUACCAAAGUUACAUUGGCCACUUGGCCCAAAUGAGCUCAAACUUGGUGGAACACCCUACUUCCAUGUGCCAUUUCAUCCUGUUAAGUUUCAUGUCAAGUGAAAUUAAAUUCCUUGCCCAAACAAUCAUUAAACACCUUCUGGCAGAAUUUCAAAAUGCAAGUUUCAACCCCUUCCACUAAUCUCCAUGAGCUGAAACUCUUCCCACAGCCUCAUCUGGCCCUCCUCUACCCCCUGCAUCUUUCCCUGCCCGAGGAGCCAUGAUUAAGGGGGGGGGGUAGAACCCCAUUUUUAUUCCCUGGACAGUAGUUUUUCCUCUAUCCCUCUCAACCCCACGCUCCUCCAGUGGCUUCCCAGGGCAUCCAAUGUAACUUUCCCAUUGUUUACUCCCCCUGCAGCUGCCAGACACAAGUGGACGCGCUGGUGCGCGUGAAAAGACGCAGACGCCAACCAAAGACAUGCUCUGGAGCACGUCAUCGCGCUCUCGACCGUUGACGCCGCGUCCCCCGACCACCUCGAGCCUCCCCCACGCGCCUGUCGAGGUCCUCGACGUCCGCAACACGACAGCCGUGCAGGCCCCCUCCUCUCCCCCUCUCUCUCAUCUCCUGUGGCGCGUGCCCGAUGGCGCCCGAGCCUGCCAAUGUUCUGCGAGCUCGUGGCUCCACCCGGAGCUCAUCCCGCACCCACUCUCUCUUCCUGGCGCCCUACUCCACCCCCACGAGCACCGCGGACAAUCCCUCGCUCUCUCUCUUGGCCGCCCGGGCCGUUGCCGCGGCCACCCAUGCGCCGCAUCCACGGUGAGCCACGGGUCGGCUACUUAAGGCCGCCCCCGAGCCCCCUCUCUACUCCUUUGGCUCUCUCUCCCUCGCGUGCAUCCCCUGGACUAACCCACUCCCCUCUUCGCGCUCUCCAUCCGCCACCAUGUCCGGAGCCUUGCCGUCGGCCUCCGCCUAAAUUCGCACCCACCACUCCUCCUCCUCCCCUCUAGACCGCACUAAAGAACCUCCACCAUCACUGCGUGCUCCUCCCGUGCUUCUCCCUUUCCUACCCGUGGCUGUUCCGUUGAGUUCCAUCACCACCGCCGGCCUCGCCCGCCGCGGCCGAUGAUGUGCUCGCGUCUGCCACUCCUGCGAUCGUGGCGCACCUCGGAGGAUGCAGCACGCUCUCUUGAGCACGCCGGUAUGCCGGGCAUCGCCGGAGGUGGCCGGUACCGCCGGGGAGAACGCCAGCUCCUGCUCGGCCUCGCCUCACUGCCUCUGCUCUGUUCAAGCGGGAGGUAGGAGACGGCCUGAGCACCGGGCCUCGCUCAUCAGCGAUCCGGUGGGAGGGCCCCGCCCGUUUAAGUGGAGACGGGUCGGGAGUAAACCCGCUUCAUGCGCAGCGAAGGCGUACUCCGUCUAGGGCGCCUUCCACGUCGCCCCUGCCACCCGCGCAGCUGAGCCGCUGGGCCGGCCCACUGCUAUCUCCCACCCAGUGCGCAGGAUAAGGGUAAAACCCUUCCCUUUUCUUUUUCUGUAAACUUGUAAACUUCACAAAUAACUCUUAGGAACUCCAAAUCUAGUAAUUCAAAUUUUAGUGACUCCAUAAAUCAUGAUCUACCUCUUGGUGCAACAUGCACAUUUUUCCAGAACAACUUUCCUCACACAAAUUAAAUAAAAUCCCAUUUUCCAUUUCUAUGAUGAACUUUAGAAAAUCACAGAGAGAUCAUCUUUGAUCCAAAUGCCAUGAUUCAAAUUUCUAGAUGCUCCUGAGUUUAUAACAUAGGUAAUGAAUAUUUUUAUUAAUACUUUCUAUGCCACACAAUAUAAUGAGCCAUUUCUUCAUAUUUGUCAACUUUGCCAAUUCAUAGGGAAUUCAUUUGAACUCCAAAUCCAGUGAAACCAACUCCUAGAUGCUUCUAAAAACAUGAUUUAUUAAAUGGGUGCCUUUGCUCAUUUUUCGAAAAUAUAUUUCUGUACACUUCUGGCAGAUAUAUAUAUCCAUUGAUUCUAUCAUAUUGAAAUACUCAAAAAUAUCCACUGAUCAAGUCCCAAUGAAACCACACUGGUUAUUUUUCAUACUAGUUGACCCGUUGUGCCAAAUGGCGCAAAGACCCACUAAAGACAUGUUGUCGAUGAAAAUAGUUUCAUUUUGCAAGGACAUAUUCGAUACUGGUAGUAGAAAGGCCAUGUGUUAAAUCGUACUAUAUUGAGACCAUGUUUAUUCUAUGUGCGUGAUGAAAAGAUAUUCAAGGUUUAGUUGUGGGCAAGCACAUAUGGCAACAGAUUUAAUCUCUUUUAGUCUGGAUAAACGGUAGCUUGUUGUCUACAAUGUAAUGCAUAUACACAUAAGUCCCAUUUGAAAUAAUAUCUAUGUAAAUCUAUGUUUUACUUUGUUUAGUUAUGGGCAAGCACAUAUGGUAACAAAUCUAAUACCCUUUAGCAGCAAAAAACGAUGGAUUGUUAUCUACAAUGAGAUGUAUGUACACAUUAUAAUUUGGUAGCACAAAGUCCCAUUCAAAAUCAUGGCAUGUUGAAAAUAUUUCCAUUUUCGGCAACUCUGUGCUUUAGAAACUACACCAAGGAAGAAUUUACAUCUUAGUCACAUUGGAAACCAUACGACGUUAGUUAUGCUGUUUACAGAGACAAACGUUGCAGGCAACAAGGGACUUUUAAUAGAAUCAUCACCAGCUCUCACAACCUGGGUAAGUCUCAGUUCUGCAUCUACUCUAAACAAAAAUAUCAUAAUAAAUUGAGGCUAAACCUCUGUGCCUAUGGUAAACAAAAGGAGGGAAACACACCAUAAUUCUUAAAGGACCUAUCCUAGGAUGCAUUUGACCACGGUACCAUCCUAAAAGUCCUUCCUGAUGCUUCUUAGCUGAUCGCCCUGCGUAUGAGAUUUUGUGCCACCUUCUCAACGCUGAUAAGAGUUCCAUUGAUAAGCUGAUCUAUGGGUUCAAUACCCAUCAAAGUGAAGAGAAAAAGAUCAUGUGAUGCAUCUCAGCUGAUUGAUUGUUUCAUCUCUACUAAGGUUGUGGAUCUCUAAACUUCUCUGGAAUAGCUGCAACAAAAAAGAAUAAACCAUACCAUACUCAAGUUGAUCAGUGGAAAGCUCUUUAUAAAAUGGAAACUUCAAAGGCCAUAUAAGGUAAUAUGUUUAUAGGAUUUAGUAAACAAUGGCCGGAAAACAAAAAUAUUUCUCAGUACAGAACAAACUAAGAGGAACAUUUCGACGCUAAAAUAAAACUACAGCAAGCACAAUGGUUCCACUACAUUGUGUAGAUACCUAAUUGCUAAUUUAGGUUGUACGGCUAAUGGAAUCAAACAACAUACAAAGAAUCUCCUUCCAAGUACUCCCUUUGUAAUUUAUAUAAGACCGUUCAGAUCACUAAAGAUUGUAGCUUGGAGUAUAUUAGUUUACAGAGGGAGUAUAGACUGUAGCUUGGAAAGUGAAAACAGUGCAACGCACAUGAGCCUUGCAGGACAUAUACUUCACAAAGAACACAGCCGAACCUGAGUGUACAAAGGUCAUAGGGCUCAAAAACUCGUCAAUCCUUGAACUGGUUACAUUAUAAACAAAUUAAGCUUGUCAUAGAAUAAAACCAUUAUGACCUACUAAAACCCAACCUGACAAAGUGAUCCAUUUCAAAUUUUCAAUACAUAACAUUUGAUGCGUCGUUAAUUGCCAAGUUGUUUAAAUUUUUGGAAUAGAAUCAUGUGGCCCAAACAUAUCUUGUAUUGCCGUUUACGGAAUAAAGGAAAUCAAAAAUAUUUUAACAUUAAUUUAUCUUCCAUCCUAACAAUAGCCUCAUACAGCACCACAUCUCUAACCUUAAGCUUUUUGAAAAAUGCCAUAUAAAUAUUUUGAACAAAAUAAAUGGCAAACAAAGAAGUAAUAUAUCCACAUAAAAUUCAUGUUUACUGGUUUACUAUGAAUCACUUGAUGAAGGAAGCAAUUGAUUUAGUAUGGAAAUUAGAAUUUCAACUCUAAGAAUGAUCAUAUAUUGAUCAUACUCCUAGUGGCUCCAUGGUCAAGGUGAGGUAAGACCACUGUGGUGACGGGUGAAGCAAAAAUAUGCGGGUAAGGCUCAAAACUGCUGAACUACACAUUAUGUUUCAUUUCAUGAAGCACACUGAACCAUUGAUACUGCAUUAAAUGGCUAAAGAACCAUAACCUGAAAAGCUGUCAUGGUGAUUCAAUUUCUAAAACAUGUGGCUCUUUUUUGUAAUGUUGGCCUAUUUCAGAAGAUACAAUAAAAGGGCAUGCAAAGAUCAUAAUCUGAACUGGAUGUCUAGAAUUUACAGAGAAAAUAGAUAUGAUAGUCGAAGCAUGAGACAAAAAUGCUUUUAGGUCCUGGCACGAAAUUACAAACCCAUAAUUGAUAUCCAAAGGUCACUAUUUUGAAUUCUCGCUAAGCAUGGCAGGCAAAGUAUUAG